rnacentral:rRNA from 1 species
UGGCUCAGAUUGAACGCUGGCGGCAGGCUUAACACAUGCAAGUCGAGCGGGGGAGGUUGCUUCGGUAACUGACCUAGCGGCGGACGGGUGAGUAAUACUUAGGAAUCUGCCUAUUAAUGGGGGACAACAUCUCGAAAGGGAUGCUAAUACCGCAUACGCCCUACGGGGGAAAGCAGGGGAUCACUUGUGACCUUGCGUUAAUAGAUGAGCCUAAGUCGGAUUAGCUAGUUGGUGGGGUAAAGGCCUACCAAGGCGACGAUCUGUAGCGGGUCUGAGAG